AGAGUUUGAUCCUGGCUCAGAAUCAACGCUGGCGGCGUGCCUCAGACAUGCAAGUCGAACGCGAACGUUCCCUUCGGGGAGCAAGUAGAGUGGCGCACGGGUGAGUAACACGUAGGUAAUCUACCUUCGGAUUGGGAAUAACCACCGGAAACGGUGGCUAAUACCGAAUAAUGCAGCGGCACCUAAUGGUGACAGUUGUUAAAGCGGGGGAUCGCAAGACCUCGCGUCUGAAGAGGAGCCUGCGGCGAAUUAGCUAGUUGGUAAGGUAACGGCUUACCAAGGCUAUGAUCCGUAGCCGGCCUGAGAGGGCGGUCGGCCACACUGACACUGACAUACGGGUCAGACUCCUACGGGAGGCAGCAGUCGGGAAUUUUGGGCAAUGGGCGAAAGCCUGACCCAGCAACGCCGCGUGAAGGAUGAAAUCCUUCGGGAUGUAAACUUCGCAAGAACGGGAAGAAUAAGUAAGAGCUAACAUCUCUUAUGAUGACGGUACUGUGAAGUCCCGA
rnacentral:rRNA from 1 species